AUGGCAUACACAAAGUUGAGCGAAUUAACUACAAGGGGACAAAACUGGAACAUUCAAGUGAAAGUAAUGAGGAUUUGGGAUUCAGUUAAUCCUACUACCGAUGAGCUUAUUAGACUAGAUAUGAUACUCAUGGAUGAGCAGGGUGAAACAAUUCAUGAUACUAUCUGGAAGAAGCUAAUAGAUACUUUUAGAUCAAAGAUCAAUGAGAAGUCUAUUUACGGAUUCAGCAAUUUUAAGGUUGUGGAAUCCACAAAAUAUAGGCCAGUGAGCAAUGAAAUUAAAAUAUUUUUUGCAUACAAUACAAAGGUAAAGGAGAUAAAAGGAUCUUCAGAAGUUUUUCCGGACUAUUGCUUCGAGUUUGCUACCAUGGAGACACUCGAAGAAAGGGCAGGAAAAGAUACACAAUGCUCAGAUGUCAUUGGACUUCUAACAAAAAUGAAGCCCGUGGAGACAAGAAUAACAAAAAAGAGCCCACAACUUUCAUAUAUCCGCGAGAUUGAAAUACUAAUGCCAGAGGGUGAUAAAAUCAGAAUCACGUUAUGGGGAAAGUUUGCUUACUUUUUGACCGAGGAUGUCAUUGGCAGCCAAACGGUCAUUAUUAUUACAUCAACGAUGGUGCAGAGAUUCAAUGGUUUGUGCCUAAAGUCAACCAGUGCCACAAGAAUAUAUAUAGAUCUGGACAUACCAGAAGCACAAGAACUUCUUGAAAGGCGGAGAACAUUGCAAGAACUUACUAAAAUGAGGCACGAAAACCAGCAAGACCAGAGAACAUUUGUGCCUGAUGAUAGGCUUGAGAUGCUCUACUUGAAUGACAAAGCCGAGGAGGAAUUGAUGGAUGAUGAUGUAGACACUAUGUUAAUGAAGAAGCAGAACAUGCCAGAUAAAAAGUCACAGAAUAAUAAAGUUUCACCUUCCUGCAAACUGGUGCCUGUGAAAGAGGAGCCAUAUGACAGCAAUGAAUCCACAUUAAAGAAAGACAAGCAGCAAGACAAAAGAUCGUCAUCUUCAUCACAGCAGCUCCGUAGUGGCAAUAAAAGGAGACUGAGAUCUGUCUGUUGUAAUAUCGUCGGAUGA
rnacentral:rRNA from 1 species